UAUAUGUGUGUGUGUGUUUGUCUGUGACGACUCAACAAGUUAGUCACUUCAGUGACAAUGAAGUCUGGCUGACCAACCUUGGUCAGAGGGAGAAAUGAAGUUUACUGUCAGCAACUGUGAGACAACAUUCCACACCCUACAACCCUCACUAGGCCUAAUUCUGUUCUCUUACAACAUCAUUCUAUCUCUCUCUGUAAUUACUACUAAGCAAUGAAGAGGACACAAACACAAACUUUAC